rnacentral:lncRNA from 1 species
UGGCGCCAGGACAGAGGGUCAGGAUGAGCAUACAGUCCUGAUUGGGACAGGCAGGGGGUUGCACAGGGAAGAAGGCAGGCCCCCGGCCCUGCCCAGAGCUGCGGAGAAGAAAGCCAAGGUGACCAGACUUCUACUGAGAACCCUGGAAUCCUCCUGGAAUCACUCAGACUGUCCAUGCUGGCUGGAAACAGAUCCUCUAACAUGGGCGUUGGCAGAUGAACAGCUGCUGGAUGCAGUCCUAGUGCCCAAGAUGACCACGUGCCAGGCUGGUCCCGGGUGCUGGGGGCAUACCCUCUCAUUUGCUCCUUACAACAUCCUGGGCAGACUCUACCAUCAUUUCCCCUCAUGCACUCAGGGCCCAUAGGUCACUGGCCCCGGGUCGCACAAGAGAGAUGUGAUAGCCAGGAUCUGGAGCCAGGCCCAGGCUGCUUGCAUCAGGCUGCUGUGUCUACUCACUGGGCUGCCCGCAGUGCCGGGCUCCUCCCAUUCAACUGCGAGCCUGGCCUCAAAUACUUCACCCCACAUAGAAGUUCAAAACCAUGGCAGCGAGGCCUGGCGGGGAGAAAGGAGUGUCCCAAGUGCUCCUGCGGCUUGGGGCUCCCUGAUCCUCCCUGGGCCUGCACCCGGGGCAGAGUGUCAGCGGCGGGUGGUGGGGUCAGCUGGCCCUGGGCUCCCUCCUUCCCGCUAGCAUUCCGUGGCUCGAGGAGGUAGACUGGGGGCUCACCCAUCCCAGCCAGGGGGUCCCUCUGACCCAGGGGCUGAGGGGUCCAAGGCACCUCAUCCCGGCACCAACAGUCCCUGGGCUGCAGCCCAGCCCUUCUGCUUCCUGGCUGCCCCAGUGCUGACUCGCUGCACAUGUGGCUCCUGCGGGCCUGCUGUUGGGCAGCUGAAGCCGCAACAACCUCUCAGCCCACCCUGGGUGUGUGGGAGAAGUCGGGAGCAUGAGGCGACCCUCACAGAAUCCACUGCGAGAAUCAGGCCGAGGUGCUGUCUUGGGAGUCAGAAACCCAAGUUCUACUCUUUGCCUGGCUGUACAUGCUGUGUGGCCUUGGGCCUUCACGUCCUCAUCUACAAGAGGCUGAUCCCAAGCUACAGGGGUAUAAAUAGCAGUGUCUUCUUGGGAAAAAUCACACAGGCGGCCGGCAGCCAGCCCUUCCUUCCUCUGGCAGGCUCACUGCCAG